CGCAGGCGGGAUUUUAAGUCAGCGGUGAAAUUUUCAGGCUCAACCNGAACACUGCCGUUGAAACUGGGAUUCUUGAGUAUGGAUGAAGUAGGCGGAAUUCGUUGUGUAGCGGUGACAUGCUUAGAUAUAACGAGGAACUCCGAUUGCGUAGGCAGCUUACUAAGCCAUAACUGACGCUCAAGCACGAAAGCGUGGGGAUCAAACAGGAUUAGAUACCCUGGUAGUCCACGCCGUAAACGAUGAUUACUAGUUGUUUGCGAUAUACCGUAAGUGACUAAGCGAAAGCGAUAAGUAAUCCACCUGGGGAGUACGCCGGCAACGGUGAAACUCAAAGGAAUUGACGGGGGCCCGCACAAGCGGAGGAACAUGUGGUUUAAUUCGAUGAUACGCGAGGAACCUUACCCGGGCUUGAAAUGUACCUGACCGUCCUUGAAAAGGGACUUCUAGCAAUAGCAGGUAUGUAGGUGCUGCAUGGUUGUCGUCAGCUCGUGCCGUGAGGUGUCGGCUUAAGUGCCAUAACGAGCGCAACCCACAUUAUUAGUUACUAACAGGUUAAGCUGUGGACUCUAAUAAGACUGCCGUCGUAAGAUGCGAGGAAGGUGUGGAUGACGUCAAAUCAGCACGGCCCUUACGUCCGGGGCGACACACGUGUUACAAUGGGAGGUACAAAGGGCUGCUACCUGGUGACAGGAUGCUAAUCCCCAAAGCCUCUCCCAGUUCGGAUCGGAGUCUGCAACUCGACUCCGUGAAGCUGGAUUCGCUAGUAAUCGCGCAUCAGCCAUGGCGCGGUGAAUACGUUCCCGGGCCUUGUACACACCGCCCGUCAAGCCAUGGGAGCCGGGGGUAUCUGAAGUGCGUAACCGCAAGGAGCGUCCUAGGGUAAAACUGGUGACUGGGGCU
rnacentral:rRNA from 1 species